AUCGUGUAUGUACUUGUUUCAAUUUGACGACUAUUUAGACAUUGUUGAGAGCUUGAUAAAGUCUUAAGAAUAAAGACGAAACGUU